GGUAAGUUGGCAGAAUAGUGCCACAGGUUUAAACA
rnacentral:tRNA from 1 species